GGAGGAGAGGGUAAUUGCUGAAGUCCAGAAGCUUCAGAGUGCUGGGGCUACAUUGCCUGCUGAUCUAAAGACAAGCAUAUUUGCAAAGAGACCGAUUGGAACACCGCGCAAGACUCCUACGGGUUCUACUCCGAGGAGUUCUGCAUUUUCGAGGGUUAUUUCCGAGAAGGAAAAGGAGGGUGGGAUUACUAUAGAUCAUCUGCAUAAACUGAAUCAGAAGAACAUUUCUGCUUGGAAUAUGAAAAGGCUGAUGAAUAUGGUUAGAAAUGGUGUACUGUCAACUUUGGAUGAGAAGUUACCACAAUCGACUUUCGAGGAUGAUACUGCUGUGCAGAUCACUAGUGAAAAAAAGGCGAAAGCUGCAGCCAAGCAGAUUUUUAAC
rnacentral:misc_RNA from 1 species